UGAAUUUGCAUUGAAUUACUUAAGAAGUUCACUUCACAAGCAAACAUUAGCUCUUCCGCAUUCACUCCCCCGUAGGCUGCCCCUCGAGAAAAUAACUUCGACUAUAGCCUCGGUUUGAACCGAGCCAUGCGAAUAGAUAUAAGUUCACGGAUACUGCAGAAACUCGUCGGAGUGACUGCACCUACAAGUAAAGUCAAACAGCAGGCUUUGUCAUAUAUAUAUACAAUGUCACGUUGACUCUGACUGGGGAAUGGAUUUAUUAAGGGUACAACGUUCGGCUCGGCGUGGAAUAUUGAAAUAUUCAUUCUUAUAACGCAAGAUGGACUAUUCUAAUUCAAAUUUAAACGAUCGUCAGUUCACACACUAUAUCGUGGAUGCAACCCGAAGAAAUUAUUCAAGGGAAUAAAUAUAUGGAAAAUACUUCGUCGCUAAACUAUGAUUUAAUUUGAUGAAUUGUAGUUUCAUAAAUCGAAAGACUGGAACACCCAGUGAAGGAAAUUGAAGCGAGAUCCAUUUACAAUUUACCGUUUAAAUAUAUAAGAACAAAGCGGAUAAGUAACAGGUAAUUGAAG
rnacentral:lncRNA from 1 species